CGAGGAGCAAGCUCGACGCGAUUUGGCCGAUUAAUGCAGCAAGGAAUAAUGCGGCGCUCGUCCCUCUGCUUUGGCGGCUUCACGAUGAAGUACAAGAGGGGCACAGGUCUCUGGGACGAGGACCAUGUGAACGACUUUGAUGCCAACAAGUACUUGUCCGCGCGGUCGACGAUGCGGUGGUACUAUGGGAUGGAGCGGCUGCAGACGCGCAACAGCGUCAAUGCCCGGCGCGCCACACAGAGCUACAACAACAACAUGGGCCUUCAUCAUAGCGGCCGUGGUGCCUUCGAGCGCGAGCUCGAGCGCCGCGGCAUCCAGGUAGACAAGUAUCCUCUGACGACAACCACCGGCGCUGCGCGGGUGGCGGAGAUGGUGCUGCUGCGGCGCCAAGAACUCGAGGCGCACGCAAAGAAAGCUAUGGAUUCUCAGCGGCAGGAGCGGCGUCGCGACGCCCCGUCUGAGUGGUACGACGAAACUGAUGGACCACUAAAUCCACGGUUCCUCCCGAGCAUGCAGAACAGCUACACUCAGGUUAUCACAGAGUUGCCUUGUUCCCCCGUUACUAGGGCGUCGUGAACUGCCUGGCGCGUGGUUCGUUUAGUGUCGGUGGGUGGUGAAUGCGUGUCAUUCAGAGGCCUAUGAUGAUGCUUUAUUCUCUUAUUUUUCUCCUGUUGCCCUUUGCUGUCUAGGCGCCACGUGUUCUUUGAGGAAGAGCAGCAGUCCACUCCAGGGUGAAGCGCCGAAAGGGGACGCCGACAUGGAGAGACGCGCGCAUGCCGCUGUGGCGUGGCAUUGCGCCUGCAUUUGUGCGUCACCUAAAAUGGAAAAACCACGAGCGUAACAUGAGACGCUGGCAUUUCAGAGUGGUGUAGCAGUGCCGCUCUUCCACCACACACACACACACACACACACACACACACACACACACACACGCACACAUACGUCAGCGCGUGUGCAUUUGCUUGGAAGAGAUUGCAUCGUUGGUGGUGGUAGUGAAGGAGGAAGAGCAAAAAAGUGAGUCGUGGUCUUCCUCAUUCCUCUUUCUCUCCGGCGUGCCCUGGUAGCUCUUCCAGCGGACGGAGAGGCCCACUGGCCCGUCGUACCGGCGCGUUACGUGCCGUUCGCGGCCCACUCUGCCCUUAACCAUUAUCUUGUGUGAUGACCGCACUGUCGAGUGUUC
rnacentral:misc_RNA from 1 species